CUCGAGCGUGUCGGGCGGUGGGGGGGCAGCAACUCAUACUUACCUGGCAGGGGAGAUACCAUGAUCACGAAGGUGGUUUUCCCAGGGCGAGGCUUAUCCAUUGCACUCCGGAUGUGCUGACCCCUGCGAUUUCCCCAAAUGUGGGAAACUCGACUGCAUAAUUUGUGAUACCAUGAUCACGAAGGUGGUUUUCCCAGGGCGAGGCUUAUCCAUUGCACUCCGGAUGUGCUGACCCCUGCGAUUUCCCCAAAUGUGGGAAACUCGACUGCAUAAUUUGUGAUAGUGGGGGACUGCGUUCGCGCUUUCCCCUGAGAGAAAAAAGAGAAUUUUAUUCUAGUCAAAUUGAGGAUUAUAACCCAGGAUAAGCUCUGAGAAAGAAGUCCAAGGCACAGUCACAUAUAUUUUUCAGAACAAUUAGUCAUACAUCAAAACAAGAUACUGACAUUUUACAUAAAGUUCACCAAAGAUGCAUAGUUCAGGUAAGCAUGUACAAAUCAAGCAGCAAGCCACCACCAUACCCUUUGACACAGCUGGGAAAGAAUGCCAAUCCUCUGAGAAGUUACAUCGCUAUUGUCAGAAGAAAGGGAGAAAAAAAUUGAUCUUUAUGGUCCAGCAGGCAUUUCCACCUCUAAGGAGAUCUGGUUAAUGUAUAAUAUACAUCACACACUAGGGAGGGCCCGUAUGGGCAGGGACUAUGUUACACUUAAAUUUUCUUGUCGUGUUUAUACAUUCAGU
ensembl:lncRNA